CCUACGGGUGGCAGCAGUCGAGAAUCAUUCACAAUGGGGGAAACCCUGAUGGUGCGACGCCGCGUGGGGGAAUGAAGGUCUUCGGAUUGUAAACCCCUGUCAUGUGGGAGCAAAUUAAAAAGAUAGUACCACAAGAGGAAGAGACGGCUAACUCUGUGCCAGCAGCCGCGGUAAUACAGAGGUCUCAAGCGUUGUUCGGAAUCACUGGGCGUAAAGCGUGCGUAGGCUGUUUCGUAAGUCGUGUGUGAAAGGCGCGGGCUCAACCCGCGGACGGCACAUGAUACUGCGAGACUAGAGUAAGGGAGGGGGAACCGGAAUUCUCGGUGUAGCAGUGAAAUGCGUAGAGAUCGAGAGGAACACUCGUGGCGAAGGCGGGUUCCUGGACAUUAACUGACGCUGAGGCACGAAGGCCAGGGGAGCGAAAGGGAUUAGAUACCCCAGUAGUC
rnacentral:rRNA from 1 species